CACCGCGGUUAUACGAGAGACCCAAAUUGAUGAAAAUCGGCGUAAAGAGUGGUUAAGAAGAAUAUACAAUAAGGUCAAAUGGUUUCAAAGCAGUUAUACGCACCCGAAGCCGUGAAGUUCAAUUACGAAAGUAGCCCUACUAACAUCUGAACCCACGAAAGCCAUAAAA
rnacentral:rRNA from 1 species